UUCUAGAGCUAAUACAUGCUGAAAACCCCGACUUCGGAAGGGGUGUAUUUAUUAGAGAAAAAACCAAUGCCCUUAGGGGCUCCUUGGUGAAUCAUGAUAACUUAACGAACCGCAUGGCCUUGCGCUGGCGGUGGUUCAUUCAAAUUUCUGCCCUAUCAACUUUCGAUGGUUAGGUAUUGGCUAACCCAUGGUCUCAACGGGUAACGGGGGAUUAGGGUUCGAUUCCGGAGAGGGAGCCUGAGAAACGGCUACCACAUCUAAGGAAGGCAGCAGGCGCGCAAAUUAUCCAAUAGCAACACGCUGAGAUAGUGACAAAAAAUACGAAUCGAGAGCUCAUUUGGGCUUUCGAAUUCGAAUGAGUACAAUUUAAAUCCCUUAACGAGGAACAAUUGGAGGGCAAGUCUGGUGGUAAGUUCGAAUUAAAUAAUUAUCACGUUCCGAAGCUAACGCCUUUAAAGCCAGCAGCCGCGGUAAUUCCAGCUCCAAUAGCGUAUAUUAAAGUUGUUGCAGUUAAAAAGCUCGUAGUUGAAUUUUGGGCCUGGCUGACCGGUCCGCCUCACCGCGUGCACUGGUUCGGCCGGGCCUUUCCUUCUGGGGAGCCGCAUGCCCUUCACUGGGCGUGCCGGGGAACCAGGACUUUUACUUUGAAAAAAUUAGAGUGUUCAACGCAGGCCUAUGCUCGAAUACAUUAGCAUGGAAUAAUAGAAUAGGACGUGCGUCCUCAUUUUGUUGGUUUCUGAGGGUGCCGUAAUGAUUAAUAGGGGUGGUCGGGGGCGUCGGGUAUGUAUUUUCUUCAACUAUUACGAAUCAUGCACUAACACGUAAGUAGUAUUCAAUUGUCAGAGGUGAAAUUCUUGGAUUUAUUGAAGACCAACUGCUGCGAAAGCGUUCGCCAAGGACACUUUCAUUAAUAAUUUGAACGAAAGUCAGAGGAUCGAAGACGAUCAGAUACCGUCGUAGUUUUGACCAUAAACUGUGCCGACUAAGGAUCGGGUGGUGUUAUUGUUUUGACCCACUCGGCACUUUACGAGAAAUCUUUAAGUUUUUGGGUUCUGGGGGGAGUAUGGUCGCAAGGCUGAAACUUAAAGAAAUUGACGGAAAGGCACCACCAGGCGUGGAGCCUGCGGCUUAAUUUGACUCAACACGGGGAAACUCACCAGGUCCAGACACAGCGAGGAUUGACAGACUGAGAGAUCUUUCUUGAUUCUGUGGGUGG
rnacentral:rRNA from 1 species